rnacentral:rRNA from 1 species
GAUGAACGCUAGCUACAGGCUUAACACAUGCAAGUCGUGGGGCAGCAUUUCAGUUUGCUUGCAAACUGGAGAUGGCGACCGGCGCACGGGUGAGUAACACGUAUCCAACCUGCCGAUAACUCGGGGAUAGCCUUUCGAAAGAAAGAUUAAUACCCGAUGGCAUAAUUAGACCGCAUGGUCUUAUUAUUAAAGAAUUUCGGUUAUCGAUGGGGAUGCGUUCCAUUAGGCAGUUGGUGAGGUAACGGCUCACCAAACCUUCGAUGGAUAGGGGUUCUGAGAGGAAGGUCCCCCACAUUGGAACUGAGACACGGUCCAAACUCCUACGGGAGGCAGCAGUGAGGAAUAUUGGUCAAUGGGCGCAGGCCUGAACCAGCCAAGUAGCGUGAAGGAUGACUGCCCUAUGGGUUGUAAACUUCUUUUAUAUGGGAAUAAAGUUUUCCACGUGUGGAAUUUUGUAUGUACCAUAUGAAUAAGGAUCGGCUAACUCCGUGCCAGCAGCCGCGGUAAUACGGAGGAUCCGAGCGUUAUCCGGAUUUAUUGGGUUUAAAGGGAGCGUAGGUGGACAGUUAAGUCAGUUGUGAAAGUUUGCGGCUCAACCGUAAAAUUGCAGUUGAUACUGGCUGUCUUGAGUACAGUAGAGGUGGGCGGAAUUCGUGGUGUAGCGGUGAAAUGCUUAGAUAUCACGAAGAACUCCGAUUGCGAAGGCAGCUCACUGGACUGCAACUGACACUGAUGCUCGAAAGUGUGGGUAUCAAACAGGAUUAGAUACCCUGGUAGUCCACACAGUAAACGAUGAAUACUCGCUGUUUGCGAUAUACAGUAAGCGGCCAAGCGAAAGCAUUAAGUAUUCCACCUGGGGAGUACGCCGGCAACGGUGAAACUCAAAGGAAUUGACGGGGGCCCGCACAAGCGGAGGAACAUGUGGUUUAAUUCGAUGAUACGCGAGGAACCUUACCCGGGCUUAAAUUGCAUUUGAAUAUAUUGGAAACAGUAUAGCCGUAAGGCAAAUGUGAAGGUGCUGCAUGGUUGUCGUCAGCUCGUGCCGUGAGGUGUCGGCUUAAGUGCCAUAACGAGCGCAACCCUUAUCUUUAGUUACUAACAGGUCAUGCUGAGGACUCUAGAGAGACUGCCGUCGUAAGAUGUGAGGAAGGUGGGGAUGACGUCAAAUCAGCACGGCCCUUACGUCCGGGGCUACACACGUGUUACAAUGGGGGGUACAGAAGGCAGCUACCUGGUGACAGGAUGCUAAUCCCAAAAGCCUCUCUCAGUUCGGAUCGAAGUCUGCAACCCGACUUCGUGAAGCUGGAUUCGCUAGUAAUCGCGCAUCAGCCAUGGCGCGGUGAAUACGUUCCCGGGCCUUGUACACACCGCCCGUCAAGCCAUGAAAGCCGGGGGUACCUGAAGUACGUAACCGCAAGGAGCGUCCUAGGGUA